rnacentral:rRNA from 1 species
UGUGAGCUCGAUGAGUAGGGCGGGACACGUGGUAUCCUGUCUGAAUAUGGGGGGACCAUCCUCCAAGGCUAAAUACUCCUGACUGACCGAUAGUGAACCAGUACCGUGAGGGAAAGGCGAAAAGAACCCCGGCGAGGGGAGUGAAAAAGAACCUGAAACCGUGUACGUACAAGCAGUGGGAGCACGCUUAGGCGUGUGACUGCGUACCUUUUGUAUAAUGGGUCAGCGACUUAUAUUCUGUAGCAAGGUUAACCGAAUAGGGGAGCCGAAGGGAAACCGAGUCUUAACUGGGCGUUAAGUUGCAGGGUAUAGACCCGAAACCCGGUGAUCUAGCCAUGGGCAGGUUGAAGGUUGGGUAACACUAACUGGAGGACCGAACCGACUAAUGUUGAAAAAUUAGCGGAUGACUUGUGGCUGGGGGUGAAAGGCCAAUCAAACCGGGAGAUAGCUGGUUCUCCCCGAAAGCUAUUUAGGUAGCGCCUCGUGAAUUCAUCUCCGGGGGUAGAGCACUGUUUCGGCAAGGGGGUCAUCCCGACUUACCAACCCGAUGCAAACUGCGAAUACCGGAGAAUGUUAUCACGGGAGACACACGGCGGGUGCUAACGUCCGUCGUGAAGAGGGAAACAACCCAGACCGCCAGCUAAGGUCCCAAAGUCAUGGUUAAGUGGGAAACGAUGUGGGAAGGCCCAGACAGCCAGGAUGUUGGCUUAGAAGCAGCCAUCAUUUAAAGAAAGCGUAAUAGCUCACUGGUCGAGUCGGCCUGCGCGGAAGAUGUAACGGGGCUAAACCAUGCACCGAAGCUGCGGCAGCGACGCUUAUGCGUUGUUGGGUAGGGGAGCGUUCUGUAAGCCUGCGAAGGUGUGCUGUGAGGCAUGCUGGAGGUAUCAGAAGUGCGAAUGCUGACAUAAGUAACGAUAAAGCGGGUGAAAAGCCCGCUCGCCGGAAGACCAAGGGUUCCUGUCCAACGUUAAUCGGGGCAGGGUGAGUCGACCCCUAAGGCGAGGCCGAAAGGCGUAGUCGAUGGGAAACAGGUUAAUAUUCCUGUACUUGGUGUUACUGCGAAGGGGGGACGGAGAAGGCUAUGUUGGCCGGGCGACGGUUGUCCCGGUUUAAGCGUGUAGGCUGGUUUUCCAGGCAAAUCCGGAAAAUCAAGGCUGAGGCGUGAUGACGAGGCACUACGGUGCUGAAGCAACAAAUGCCCUGCUUCCAGGAAAAGCCUCUAAGCAUCAGGUAACAUCAAAUCGUACCCCAAACCGACACAGGUGGUCAGGUAGAGAAUACCAAGGCGCUUGAGAGAACUCGGGUGAAGGAACUAGGCAAAAUGGUGCCGUAACUUCGGGAGAAGGCACGCUGAUAUGUAGGUGAAGUCCCUCGCGGAUGGAGCUGAAAUCAGUCGAAGAUACCAGCUGGCUGCAACUGUUUAUUAAAAACACAGCACUGUGCAAACACGAAAGUGGACGUAUACGGUGUGACGCCUGCCCGGUGCCGGAAGGUUAAUUGAUGGGGUUAGCCGCAAGGCGAAGCUCUUGAUCGAAGCCCCGGUAAACGGCGGCCGUAACUAUAACGGUCCUAAGGUAGCGAAAUUCCUUGUCGGGUAAGUUCCGACCUGCACGAAUGGCGUAAUGAUGGCCAGGCUGUCUCCACCCGAGACUCAGUGAAAUUGAACUCGCUGUGAAGAUGCAGUGUACCCGCGGCAAGACGGAAAGACCCCGUGAACCUUUACUAUAGCUUGACACUGAACAUUGAGCCUUGAUGUGUAGGAUAGGUGGGAGGCUUUGAAGUGUGGACGCCAGUCUGCAUGGAGCCGACCUUGAAAUACCACCCUUUAAUGUUUGAUGUUCUAACGUUGACCCGUAAUCCGGGUUGCGGACAGUGUCUGGUGGGUAGUUUGACUGGGGCGGUCUCCUCCUAAAGAGUAACGGAGGAGCACGAAGGUUGGCUAAUCCUGGUCGGACAUCAGGAGGUUAGUGCAAUGGCAUAAGCCAGCUUGACUGCGAGCGUGACGGCGCGAGCAGGUGCGAAAGCAGGUCAUAGUGAUCCGGUGGUUCUGAAUGGAAGGGCCAUCGCUCAACGGAUAAAAGGUACUCCGGGGAUAACAGGCUGAUACCGCCCAAGAGUUCAUAUCGACGGCGGUGUUUGGCACCUCGAUGUCGGCUCAUCACAUCCUGGGGCUGAAGUAGGUCCCAAGGGUAUGGCUGUUCGCCAUUUAAAGUGGUACGCGAGCUGGGUUUAGAACGUCGUGAGACAGUUCGGUCCCUAUCUGCCGUGGGCGCUGGAGAACUGAGGGGGGCUGCUCCUAGUACGAGAGGACCGGAGUGGACGCAUCACUGGUGUUCGGGUUGUCAUGCCAAUGGCACUGCCCGGUAGCUAAAUGCGGAAGAGAUAAGUGCUGAAAGCAUCUAAGCACGAAACUUGCCCCGAGAUGAGUUCUCCCUGAC